AGGGGGCCUGAGGCAGCCGCGUGUCCGCUUUUGCGAAAGCAGGGGGGACGCGAGGAAAGUCCGGGCUCCACGAAACAAGGGUGGCGGGUAACGCCCGCCGGUCGCCUGCAAGGGCGGCAAGGGAAAGUGCCACAGAGAGCAAACCGCCGAUGGCCCCGGACUUGUCCGGGGGCAGGCAAGGGUGAAAGGGUGCGGUAAGAGCGCACCGGGGCACUGGCAACAGGGCUCGCAUGGCAAACCCCACCCGGAGCAAGGCCGAAUAGGGGCCGCGCGCCCGUCAGCAAUGGCAGGUAGGGGUGUUUCGCCCUGAGCGGCCCGGGUUGGCUGCUAGAGCACAGGAGCAAUCCUGCGCCCAGAUGAAUGGCUGCUACCCUGGAACCGGUCCGCAAGGAUACCGACCGGGGACACAGAACCCGGCUUAUGAUGGCCCCCUGAUA
rnacentral:RNase_P_RNA from 1 species